rnacentral:rRNA from 1 species
CAGCAGUAGGGAAUCUUCCACAAUGGACGCAAGUCUGAUGGAGCAACGCCGCGUGAGUGAAGAAGGGUUUCGGCUCGUAAAGCUCUGUUGUUAAAGAAGAACGUGGGUAAGAGUAACUGUUUACCCAGUGACGGUAUUUAACCAGAAAGCCACGGCUAACUACGUGCCAGCAGCCGCGGUAAUACGUAGGUGGCAAGCGUUAUCCGGAUUUAUUGGGCGUAAAGCGAGCGCAGGCGGUCUUUUAAGUCUAAUGUGAAAGCCUUCGGCUCAACCGAAGAAGUGCAUUGGAAACUGGGAGACUUGAGUGCAGAAGAGGACAGUGGAACUCCAUGUGUAGCGGUGAAAUGCGUAGAUAUAUGGAAGAACACCAGUGGCGAAGGCGGCUGUCUGGUCUGCAACUGACGCUGAGGCUCGAAAGCAUGGGUAGCGAACAGGAUUAGAUACCCUGGUAGUCCAUGCCGUAAACGAUGAUUACUAAGUGUUGGAGGGUUUCCGCCCUUCAGUGCUGCAGCUAACGCAUUAAGUAAUCCGCCUGGGGAGUACGACCGCAAGGUUGAAACUCAAAGAAUUUUGACGG